rnacentral:rRNA from 1 species
AUUGAACGCUGGCGGCAGGCUUAACACAUGCAAGUCGAGCGGUAACAGAGGGAAGCUUGCUUCUCUGCUGACGAGCGGCGGACGGGUGAGUAAUGCCUAGGAAUCUGCCUAGUAGUGGGGGAUAACUUGCCGAAAGGUAAGCUAAUACCGCAUACGUCCUACGGGAGAAAGGAGGGGACCUUCGGGCCUUUCGCUAUUAGAUGAGCCUAGGUCGGAUUAGUUAGUUGGUGAGGUAAUGGCUCACCAAGACCGCGAUCCGUAACUGGUCUGCGAGGGUGAUCAGUCACCCUGGAACUGGGACACGGUCCAGACUCCUACGGGAGGCAGCAGUGGGGAAUAUUGGACAAUGGGGGGGACCCUGAUCCAGCCAUGCCGCGUGUGUGAAGAAGGUCUUAGGAUUGUAAAGCACUUUAAGUUGGGAGGAAGAGCAGUUAACUAAGAUUUGCCUGUUUUGACGUUACCGACAGAAUAAGCACCGGCUAACUUCGUGCCAGCAGCCGCCGUAA